CGAACGCUGGCGGCAUGCCUAACACAUGCAAGUCGAACGAGACCUUCGGGUCUAGUGGCGCCCGGGUGCGUAACGCGUGGGAACCUGCCCUUGGGUUCGGAAUAACUCCCCGAAAGGGGUGCUAAUACCGGAUAAUGUCUUCGGACCAAAGAUUUAUCGCCUUUGGAUGGGCCCGCGUUGGAUUAGCUAGUUGGUAGGGUAAAAGCCUACCAAGGCGACGAUCCAUAGCUGGUCUGAGAGGAUGAUCAGCCACACUGGGACUGAGACACGGCCCAGACUCCUACGGGAGGCAGCAGUGGGGAAUAUUGGACAAUGGGCGAAAGCCUGAUCCAGCAAUGCCGCGUGAGUGAUGAAGGCCUUAGGGUUGUAAAGCUCUUUUACCCGGGAUGAUAAUGACAGUACCGGGAGAAUAAGCUCCGGCUAACUCCGUG
rnacentral:rRNA from 1 species